rnacentral:rRNA from 1 species
GAUGAACGCUGGCGGCGUGCUUAACACAUGCAAGUCGAACGAAGCAUUUAAGACAGAUUACUUCGGUUUGAAGUCUUUUAUGACUGAGUGGCGGACGGGUGAGUAACGCGUGGGUAACCUGCCUCAUACAGGGGGAUAGCAGCUGGAAACGGCUGGUAAUACCGCAUAAGCGCACAGUACCACAUGGUACAGUGUGAAAAACUCCGGUGGUAUGAGAUGGACCCGCGUCUGAUUAGCUUGUGGGCGGGGUAACGGCCCACCAAGGCGACGAUCAGUAGCCGACCUGAGAGGGUGACCGGCCACAUUGGGACUGAGCCACGGCCCAGACUCCUACGGGAGGCAGCAGUGGGGAAUAUUGCACAAUGGAGGAAACUCUGAUGCAGCGACGCCGCGUGAGUGAAGAAGUAGUUCGCUAUGUAAAGCUCUAUCAGCAGGGAAGAUAGUGACGGUACCUGACUAAGAAGCUCCGGCUAAAUACGUG